CCACAUUUCACCUCUCUCAGGGAUCACAAGAUACAAGACACGGGACAGAAUCCAAAGUACACCAGUCCAUAAUAAUUCAGGACAAGAAAUGAUCAGGCAAGGGGCAUAAAUGUGACAUGGAGUGAAAAUAGGACACAAACCCUACAGGUCAUUUAAAAAGAGCUUCUUUUUGUUGUGAUAAUGAUUACAUAAUGGCUUUUGUGUAAGUUGUUUUUGAUUGGUUAGCAGUAGACUACAUAUGGCAAGAGGUAAUUUCAGGCUUGUAUGUUAUUAUCAAGACUGUGCUAUGGAUGCAUAUUUAUGUCGUACUCUCUCUAUCCAUAUUUUUUAAUUUGAAUUGUUUUCCAGUUGUUCCUCUUUCUUCUUGUUGCAAGUCAUUGUUCUUUACUUUCACUUCUGUCUCUACAUUUCCAUUUCAAUAUUAUUCACAAUCCCCUUUCCUCCAUUAUCCAUGUUUAAUCCCUGUUUCUGAACGUUCAAUCUUCUUUCCCCCCUCCCAGGACUCCCACUUUUUUAAGUAAGGAGGGUGUGCGACUAACAGCCAGAGAAAGUGUGGAUAAAACUGUAGAAAAAAAGUGAUUAAAUUCCUAAAGGGCAGAUAACUGAGCAGUGAGACUGCAAGAACAUGAUGUCAGGCUCCCGCGGGCGGCUGCGAGGGGAGGCUGCACUCCGCUCGCAGUACUCACCCUCCAGCCGUCCGCGGUCCCCUCCGCCUCGUGGGUACGGCGAGCGGCAUCCUUCCAGCCUCGGAUGCCGCCCGCCAUUCCCUCCACAUCCCCCAGCGGCAGCAUGCAUGACGCUGCACGCUGGGAGACCGCCCAGGUUUAUACACGCCGUGGUCAGUUACCUGACCUGGCGUUAAAGGCACUGUGCCUCAAUCACAGUGGGAGGUCUAAAUAUCUCCCACGUGUGAUUGUUAAUUCUGAUUGGAAAUUAUCCAAUUAGAAUUAACCUGAUGGUUUAAAUACUUACCUUUCCUGUUCCUCCCGGCCCUGUUGUGGUCUUUGCUUGCUAGUAUUGCUACUUACCUUGUGCUUCUGGUUACGUACUCUCUGGCUUGUUUAUCUGACUCUGUGACUUUCUCCUACCCUUUGACCUCAGGCUCGUUUCACGUUAUUCUGUCUUCUGGUUCCCCUUUACUCGGCUUGUCUCCUGACUAUUCUGUGUGUGCUUAGCCCGGCCACUCUAAGGUCCGGUACGGCACCUUUUGUGUGUGUGUGUGUGUGUGUGUGUGCCAGCGUGUUGGGUUCCCCGAAUCGUGACAUUUGAUUAUUAAGCUGAAGUGGCUUUGGUGCUAUCAGGGUUGCUUGGGUCUUUCCUGUUUCCUCUAUCAUUGCCCUAGGCACUGUAUGCUAUCUAAGCAUGCCCACAGUCAAGAAUUCAUCUAGAUUCAUGUACAAAUGAAGCCUUCACUCGACCAUUAGGACAUCACGAAACGGGCUGAUAUGUUUUUUGUACCGACGAAGAGUCAUCUAAAACUCUAGAAUUACAUUUUCCUUCUAGAAAUCACUAUUCCCCAGAAUCAGGCAGCUCUCUGCUUUCAAAUUCUAUUGCCAUACUCGGGAAAGACUAGCUUAGAGCAUGUCGGUCUUAUACUAGUUGCUCCUCACACUAAUCACCCCUGUGCCUCCGGGUUUCAUUGCAAGAUGGGAGACCGAUCUGGGCUACUGUAAAAAAUCCAUCAACUAACUCAUAAAGCAUCCAUCAGCUCCAUACAGGAAACCAAGCUGCUGCCCAGUUGGUAGUAAAUCCUAUUGAGAUUCAAUGCUAAGAUCUCAGACAUGUGUUGGCAUUGUGGAAGAGCGAUGGGCUCUCUGUUUCAUGUCUGGAGACAGCCCCCCACUAUAGUUCCCUACUGGGAAUCAAUAAAUUCAGUUAUGAAGCAAAUAGUGGGGAAGUAAUAUAUAAAUAUAUUUAACUCUUAGUCAUCUAACAGCGUUCAGUCCGGAUAAAAUCCAGACCAAAUUCAGACUAAUUCGGAGCCUGCUCUGCAAAAUCCAGACAUCGAUAAAUAGUGUGAAAAAGGUUUAGAUUUUGCAUUUGAAAUGCCUUGGUACAGCCCUGGAUGGUUUUGCCCGAUUCUGUAUGGCGCUAUUUGUACUUUAAUUAUCCUAUAAGUAUAUAUAGCUGAACUGUAUACUGCAUAUGUUCUAGUAGCAUAAGAAAACUACAUCUACAUAAAUGAAAUGAUUGAAAUUCAUGAGAUUAUAAAAUAUUUGGAGGAUGGUUAUGCCGUCAUCAUCUGAGACCAAACGGAGUGCUACUGCACAACUGUGGACACUUUAACACCAUCAGUUGUGAUUAUUCCGAGUUCCCACUUAUCAGUAAAGGAAUACUAUAGACACCAAAACAACUUUAGCUUAAUGAAGCAGUUUCUGUGUACAGCUCAUACCCCUGAAGUUUCAAAAGUCAAUUCUCUGCCAUUUAGGAGUUAAAUCACCUUUGUUUUCUGUUUAUACAGGAUUAGCCACACCUCCCCUGGCUGUGACUGACACAGCCUGCACGAAAACAAAAUGGUUUCAUUUUCAAUGAGAUGUAACUUACUUUAAAAGUUUUGAUGAUCUGCUCUGUAAAUUAAACUUUAAUUACAUACAGGAGGCUUCUACUGGGUCUAGCAAGCUAUUAACAGAGGAGGAGAUAAUAAAUUCUAAAAUAAACAUAAUUUGCAAUAAAGGAAGUGUAAACAUUAUAAUGACUCUUUGCAGGAAGUGUUUAGGAAAGCUGUGUACGUAACAUGCAGGGAAGUGUGACUAGUGCUGCAUAAACAAAGUGCUUUAACUCCUAAACGCCAGAGAAUUGAGCAGUGAAACUGCAGGGGCAUAAUCUAUACACCAAAACAGCCUCAUUAAACUAAAGUUGUUAUGGUGACUAUAGUGUCCCUUUAACUACCUAUAUUAAUUGCUCCCAUUCUGCCUUACAUUACCCAUUGUUUUAUCUUAAUCAUUCCAAAGGUGUAUCCAGGUGUAAUAAGUGUUUGUUUGUUUGUAAAAGUUAAAUCUAAAAUAAGAAUAAAAUUCUCAAAAUUGUCUAUAUUCCUAUAUUGCCUUUAUAAUUGCCUUUCCAAUUCACCACAACUCAAACAAUGAAUCUAUUUUGGCCCAAAGAAAUGGUUUAACAUUUUAAAUAGUAUCACUUAUAAAAUAUAUACUAGAGGUUUCUUACAGUUAUUUAUAGACUUACAGCUAGUUCUGUGAUUACAUAAAUAAUGCUAAUGGAAACAUCUUCAGUAGUUACUUUAAGCACUUAGCUUUAAAUGGUGUUAUCUUACACCAAUGGAAUGUCCUGCAGACAUUAUAGUAUCCGUGGUUGGUUCACUUAGAACGCAUUGUGAACAUAGGAGGAAUUCCCCUUUUUUACAUGAAGGAAAUUACUCAUUUCAUUUCCUUUAUUCCGAAAGUCCCUUGUUCUACAGCCCUUUUAGUGCAUAGAUAUUAUUUCCAUUUACUGAUACUUCAGACCAUCUGAUAGGAUGGAGAGGAAAUUCAUAACUAUGGUGGUUGAUAAACUACAAUUUGAAAAUAAAACCUAGAUUUUGAAAAAGGUACUAUUUGGCAUGCUCUUUCAUUUAGCAUCAAAAUUACAGGCAUUUGAGUCAAUAGUUGCGCUUCUGUGCAGUUACUGCUAUGAGUGUUCUUGGCAAGGCCAAACCUUACUUUUAACAAGAUAAAAUAUUAGUGUAUACACAAAUCCCAGUGCAACAAAGUGUAUAAUAAAUAAUCAAUAAUACAACCAAUUACAGAUGUAGUGGUAGGAGAUACCGAAAAUAUAAAAAUAAAAGACAACAUAGUGUGUGCCGUUAAAACACUUUGUGGAAAGAAAAUAUAGGACUACCACUCACAUGGCUCAGAGCCGUACCAGGCUCUGUAUAGCAGGCUCGAGGGUGCCAAUACUGGUUUCAGAUCCCCUGGUUUGGUGGUAGAAGAUGGGACUUGACUCCAGGUGUAUAGUCAAAAUAAACUUUAUUAUAACAUAUAAACUCAAGGUACUAAAGUAGAAUGACAGUGGAACUAAAAGUGAAUACAAAUAAUAAAAAGACAAAGUUCCACUCAUCACCACAAAAGCAGAAACCAGGAGUAUAAAAAAACUAUUUAAAAUAGUAUGAAAAUGCAGCAGACGUGUUUUGGCUUAGUAAGCCUUCUUCCAGUGCUGAUGAUCAGUUCAAAUGUUCGUCUUUUUAUAUCCCAAGAUUUUUUGAAGGAGUGGAGACUGGAUGAAAGUAUAAUGGAGAAGGGAAAGGAGUUACACUGAAAAGGUGCAGCCCUGGAAAAGUCUUGGAGGCGAGCAUCAGAUGUGGGAGCAUGGACAGAGGAUAGACGUGCCUGCGAGAUAGAGGUGAUGGUGGCGCCGUUGACAGACACGGGAGUAGCAACACUUGAGGGAGGAAAGACUAGAAGUUCUGUUUUAACAGGUUGAGUUUAAGGAAGUGAGCAGCCAUCUAAUUGGAAAUUGCGGAGAGGCAGUCAGAGACACGAGUCAAGAUGGGCGGAGAGAGAUCAGGAGAGGACAGGUAGAUUUGCGUGUCAUCUGCAUAGAAAUGAUAAUAGAAGCCAAAAGAGCUGAUGAGUUUACCAAGGGAGGCAAUAUAGAUGGAGAACAGUAGGGGACCAAGGACUGAACCUUGGGGGACACCAACAGAGAGGGUUUGGGAAGAAGAUGCACGCGGGCAAAGAUGGUAUCGCUGCCGUUCCACUUCCUGACCAACUAGACAAAUUUCUUUUGGGAGCUAUAAUUUACCGAACAGGGGGAGCAUUCGCUACAUAGCAGCCAGGGUGAACAUUUGUCGGUAUUCGCAUAGUAACCCCCGAAAGCCGACCAGCCCUCCUGCCCAAAUCUCUGGAACUGUUUUGUGCUAUCACCUUGUGUCUGGUCAGUUAAAACUUUGCUUGACAAUAACUUUAGUUUUACUGAACCGAUCUGAGCGCUUUUUGGAAAUGCUGUGCACUCAGAUCGGGGCUAUUCGGGAAUAUGAAUUUUGUGGGGUUCCUGUAUUUUUUAUGUAUUUUACUGAUAUUGUAAAAUAUUUAUGCAAGUUUCUGUGUUUGAGAGAUAAUUGAGUUAUCCUAAUUUGAGCUCAAUUAUCUCCCAAACACAAAGGCUCUUGGGAAAGAAACCCUUGUAAUUUUGACUGAGAACUCCCAUGCUAGGGGCAAUGCAUAAAAGCAGUGUGUGGCAGGAAUAAAAUCAGUUGUACUCUCAGAACUGUGUGUCGUCCACUUGCUGGGGAGGAGGUGGGUUAUUUCUUUGGCAUUUUUCUUGUUCCUGAUUAUACUCUUGUGGAUACGGCGGAGAAAAGUCCCUGCUAGAACUAGGGCUCCGCUUCAAUCAGAUUUUUAGUUUUCAACCUAUCUAUUGGCGAAUGCCUCUCUCCUCCUGCAGUAUUAAAUAUGCCUGUUAUGUGACUCUUGAAUUUGGAUCAUUCCAAUGGAGUGCAGCAGACGUGUAACUGCUGUGAUCGUGAGUUCAGUACAGUGUUUCAUUAGACAUGUUUAUCUCCUUCUCUGCAACUUGAACUUCUAUCACACACAGGAGACUCCUGUGUGUCUAGCAAGAUAUUAACAGAGGAGGAGAUUCGAGAUUAAACAGAAUUUGCAAUAUACGAAGUUUAAACUUUAAAUCUCUCUUUACAGGAAGUGUAUUUGGAGGCUUGUAAGUCAUAUGCAGGGAGGUGUGACCAGUGCUGUAUAAAAUAAUUACAACUAAUAAAUGACUGAGCAGUGAGACUGCAAGGACAUGAUCUUUACACCAAAAACUGAUUUAUUAAGUUAAAGUUGUUUGGUGCUCUAUAUACAGUACAGUAGGUUGCAGUGGUUAUGGUGCUUAGAGUAUUCUUUUAUUUUUCCUACCUGUAACAUUUGAAUAUUCCCAUUAGACAGCAAUUAUAUCCCAAUCAAUAUGUAUAAAUAAUGUGUGUCCUUGAAACAUAGAGGAUAUAGCUACCCUACUUGAGAAUCAGAAUCUCACUCUAUGACAAUAAUUCCCAACCCUUUUUGGACAAAGCAGGGCUGGCCCAUCCAUAGGUUCUGAUGGGGCCAUGGCCAGGGCAGACUGGGAGGCUGUCCAAAAUUGCAAUAGAUAAGGGUGGUUGGGAGGUAGAGGCUUGUAGCAGACUUUUUCCCCUCUCCGUUCGGUUGUCCGAAUGGCCACGUUUGAAUUUUGGCGGCAUUUUUUCUCUGACGUCGGCGCGCAUGCGCCGCGUCAUAAAUGUGGGCGUGUUCCGAGCGGCCAGCGUCAGAAUAGCUGAGCCGCCCCCCGGAAGUAUCGGAGGAGGACCCGGCGCUGCGCGGGACCGGCGGGGAAAGGUAAGCACUCGUUACACUGGGGGAGCAUUCGCUCCCUAAGAGUCAUGGGGAGCAUUCGUUGGUGUUCGCAUAGGAAUUCCUGAAAGUUGACUGGCCGUUGCCUCUUUUCCUUUGAACCGUGGCCGGCAGCUGGUCAGAACUUUACCCUAAUGGAGAUUCCGCUCCAUCGAAUGAAUCUGAGCGCUAUUUGGACAACAUGGGUGCUCAGAUCCAAGCUAUUCAUGGAUAAAAGACUUGUGAGGUUCCCUGUGUAGUUUGAAUGUAUUUAUGGGGUAUUUUAUAUAUAUAUAUAUAUAUAUAUAUAUAUAUUCAGGAGGUUAAUAAUUAUAUUACCUUUCUUUACUCUUAUAUUUUAUGUAUGGUUCCCUGUAACCAUGAGAUAAUUGAGUUACUGGUCUUUGACUCAGUUAUCUCCCAGACACAGGGACACCUGGGAGGGGUUUGUGUUGUUUUAUAUGGAGACCACUUGCUGGGGUUCUCUGCAUAAAAAGCGGAGUGUGGCACAAAAAACCUCAGUUGUACUCCCAGAACUGUGUCGUCCAAUUGCUGGGGAGGGAUAGAGCACCUUGUUCCAGAGUUCCAGUUACCACGUUUCCAUCUGAGAACAAGGCCUGGUCAGGACUAGUACUUCGCUACAAGGCUGAGCUGGACUUGGCUGGGGACUCAGGGUUAUGCACGUUUCUCAUUGAAGUUCUGGUGAUGUGACAUUACUCACCGUGUGUGCCGAAACUUCAAUAGUUUACUUUAGUUCUAUACUUUGUGGCAGGCAGUGCUGUGGGCUGGCUAAGCUGCCUCCCAGGUUGAAGCGGCAGAUAGCCAGAUACGGAGGGGGAGGGCAGCACAGAAGUCAUGUGCACAGAAGCGGGGCAGGAGCCAGGACUGGACAAGCAGCGGUGGGGACAUGAGGAGUAAAGCCGCUAGGAGUCAGUCCAGACUCCACUCAUGUCAGAACCACCACCGUGGACACAACAAGGAUAAAUGUCAUGAUUGGCUGCAGUGCACACACAAUAUGCAGCACAUUGGAAGCCAAUCCUCAGCACCCACACAUUGUAUCUCAAGCACCCACACAGGCACACACUGCAUCCUCAGCACACAAACAGACACAGACUGCAUCCCCAGCACACACACACACACACACACACACACACAGACAGACUGCAUCCCCAUCACACACACUGCUUCCCUGCACAUACACAGACACACACUGCAUCUACAUAUAUUUAUCUAUUACACAAACACACAUACUGCAUCCACUACACAUUCUCUGCAUCCAUUAUACACGCAUACUCUGUCUCCACUAUGAUUUGGUGGCAUGGUUUUGGGGUGUGGGAGGGAGAGCGGCAGCAUUUCAUCCUUGGACCCAGGCAGCAGAAUGUAUUAGGCCGGCCCUGGGACAAAGUAACAGUUAAAUGAGAAAAACUAGGCACCCCAUACUUUUUUUAUUUUUUAUUUGCUGCAAAUAAAUGUCACAUUUUAAGGACCACAUUCACACCAUUACAGCCCAGAAGUUAAAAGGGAUACUCUAAGCACCGAAAUAACUGUCCCUUCUGUCUGGCAAUGUAAAACAUUCUAAAAAAAGCAAUGUGUACAUUUUGCUUAAAGUAUGCUCCUAGUGGCCAUUGGACAGACACUUUCCCUUCAGACCUCUGUUAUUUGAAGGUCAUCAUGUCCAGUGCUUCUCAGUGUACAGAACUGGAUGAAAAAAAGUCAUCUGAACUAAUGAUUUCAUUAGAGGGGGAGCAGCAGCAAUGAGUUCACUGUUCCAGAGAUAGAUUAUAGGUAAUUUUUUUUUUUUUUUUUUUUUUAAUAAAACAAGGAUAACCUAAACAAAAAAAAGAAAUUGAUCUUAAAAAAGGUAAAUAUCUACACACACAAUUUAUUAAUGACACUAGAGCAGAUCAAAGUCAGAAGUUCAUCCCAGAAACAGAAUCCGUGACUACAAUUCAAUAGACAUAUACAAUUUGAAGAUGGCUCGCCAAUCUGUACAGUCACUCUCACACCACUUUCUUCUUUUAUUACACACUCUGUACAGUUUGAGCCUCCACCAAAUGUCAGUAUUAAUGUAGUCCACCUAAUCACGUGUAAUAUGGUAAGUGAUAUAGUACAUACAAGCCAGUCAGUGUUACAGAUAAGGGGAAAAAUAGAACAUUGUAAUGUAAGAAAAUAAGGGGAUAAUUAGCAUUUCUCGAGAAAUCUCACUUCACAUUCUGUUCUUAUACUGUGUAAAUGAGAUACAAUAUCCUCCACCCUGGCUGUUUCCCUCUAGGGGUGUAAAAUGGCUAUAUAAAGACACAUGUAUUGCAGAAAAUGAGAAGUCACGUAGGAGUUCAUUAUACAUGGUUAUUACACAGUAUCAUAUUGUGUACUUGGAGAAAUAAAGCUGCAUGAGCCAAUUCCUAGGAAAUGAAACUUCUCUGUAAUAACGGGGGAUGUUUUACAGGGAACCAAAUGUCCUGAUACACUAAAAGCCUUUUGAAAUGAUUAAAUUUGUUUUGCAGGGACAACCACAGAAUAAUUCAAAACUCACAACAAAAUGUUUCUCAACAUGGAUGGCUGGAGAGAGACAGAAAUACAGACAAAUGGUUGAGAAAAUGAAAAUAAAAAGCAGACAAAUUCAAUUUG
rnacentral:lncRNA from 1 species